rnacentral:rRNA from 1 species
UACAGAGGGUGCAAGCGUUAAUCGGAAUUACUGGGCGUAAAGCGUGCGCAGGCGGUUGUGUAAGACAGAUGUGAAAUCCCCGGGCUCAACCCUGGGAACUGCAUUUGUGACUGCACGGCUGGAGUGCGGCAGAGGGGGGAUGGAAUUCCGCGUGUAGCAGUGAAAUGCGUAGAUAUGCGGAGGAACACCGAUGGCGAAGGCAAUCCCCUGGGCCUGCACUGACGCUCAUGCACGAAAGCGUGGGGAGC